rnacentral:rRNA from 1 species
UGUUUGAUCCUGGCUCAGAACAAACGCUGGCGGCGUGCCUAACACAUGCAAGUCGUACGAGAAAGUCGGCUUCGGCCGAUGAGUACAGUGGCGCACGGGUGAGUAACGCGUGGGUAAUCUACCCCUCGGUCAGGAAUAACCCGCCGAAAGGCGGGCUAAUACCCGAUAAUACUGACGCUCUGCGGAGUGUCUUUCAAAGAAGGCCUCUGUUUACAAGCUUUCGCCGGAGGAUGAGCCCGCGUACCAUUAGCUAGUUGGCAGGGUAAUGGCCUACCAAGGCAACGAUGGUUAGCCUGGUCUGAGAGGAUGGCCAGCCACACUGGAACUGAGACACGGUCCAGACUCCUACGGGAGGCAGCAGUGAGGAAUCUUGCGCAAUGGGGGAAAGCCCUGACGCAGCAACGCCGCGUGAGUGAGGAAGGCCUUCGGGUCGUAAAGCUCUGUCAGAUGGGAAGAAAUGCGGUGGGGGCUAAUAUCGUCCAUCCUUGACGGUACCAUACAGAGGAAGCACCCGGCUAACUCCGU